CCUACGGGAGGCAGCAGUGAGGAAUAUUGGUCAAUGGGAGAGAUCCUGAACCAGCCAAGCCGCGUGAGGGAAGACGGCCCUAUGGGUUGUAAACCUCUUUUGUCGGAGAACAAAACCCGGGACGUGUCCCGGACUGCGUGUAUCCGAAGAAAAAGCAUCGGCUAACUCCGUGCCAGCAGCCGCGGUAAUACGGAGGAUGCGAGGGUUAUCGGGAUUUAUUGGGGUUAAGGGGUGCGUAGGCGGUCCGUUAAGUUAGCGGUAAAAUUGCGGGGCUCAACCCCGUAGGGCCGUUGAAACUGGCAGACUUGAGUUGGCGAGAGGUACGCGGAAUGCGCGGUGUAGCGGUGAAAUGCAUAGAGAUCACGCAGAACUCCGAUUGCGAAGGCAGCAUACCGGCGCGCAACUGACGCUCAUGCACGAAAGCGUGGGUAUCGAACAGGAUUAGAUACCCUGGUAGUC
rnacentral:rRNA from 1 species